rnacentral:rRNA from 1 species
GGCAAUUGGAAUGAGAACAAUUUAAAUCCCUUAUCGAGUAUCAAUUGGAGGGCAAGUCUGGUGCCAGCAGCCGCGGUAAUUCCAGCUCCAAUAGCGUAUAUUAAAGUUGUUGCAGUUAAAAAGCUCGUAGUUGGAUUUCUGGCAGUGGUGAACGGCCACACACAAUGUGUGUGAGCAUGUUUAUCAUGCCAUCCUUGGUGAGAUCCUAUUUGGCAUUAAGUUGUCGGGUAGGGGAUAACCAUCGUUUACUGUGAAAAAAUUAGAGUGUUUAAAGCAGGCUUAUGCCGUUGAAUAUAUUAGCAUGGAAUAAUAAGAUAGGACUUCGGAACUAUUUUGUUGGUUUGCGUUACGAAGUAAUGAUUAAUAGGGACAGUUGGGGGUAUUCGUAUUUCGUUGUCAGAGGUGAAAUUCUUGGAUUUCCGAAAGACGAACUACUGCGAAAGCAUUUACCAAGGAUGUUUUCAUUAAUCAAGAACGAAAGUUAGGGGAUCGAAGAUGAUUAGAUACCAUCGUAGUCUUAACCAUAAACUAUGCCGACUCGGGAUUGGUG